UGGGGGAUGUAGCUUAGGGGUUGAGCACUUGCCUAGCAUCUUUGAGGCUCUGGGUUUCAUUCCCAGUUCCUCAA
rnacentral:tRNA from 1 species